rnacentral:rRNA from 1 species
CCUACGGGAGGCAGCAGUGAGGAAUAUUGGUCAAUGGGCGGAAUCCUGAACCAGCCAUGCCGCGUGCAGGACGACGGCUCUACGAGUUGUAAACUGCUUUUGUACAGGAGUAAAAUGCUCUACGUGUAGGGUUUUGAAAGUACGGUACGAAUAAGGAUCGGCUAACACCGUGCCAGCAGCCGCGGUAAUACGGAGGAUCCGAGCGUUAUCCGGAUUCAUUGGGGUUAAAGGGUGCGUAGGUGGGUUUAUAAGUUAGCGGUGAAAAACUGAGGCUCAACAGCGGGGCUGCCGUUGAUACUGGAGGUCUAGAGUGCGGAUGAAGUAGGCGGAAUGCGUAGUGUAGCGGUGAAAUGCAUAGAGAUAACGCAGAACACCGAUUGCGAAGGCAGCUUGCUAGGCCGGAUCUGACACUGAUGCACGAAAGCGUGGGGAUCGAACAGGAUUAGAUACCCCUGUAGUC